CACGUAGGGGCCAAGCGUUGUCCGGAUUUAUUGGGCGUAAAGAGCUCGUAGGCGGCUCGGUAAGUCGGGUGUGAAACCUCCAGGCUCAACCUGGAGACGCCACCCGAUACUGCUGUGGCUAGAGUCCGGUAGGGGAGCGUGGAAUUCCUGGUGUAGCGGUGAAAUGCGCAGAUAUCAGGAGGAGCACCAGCGGCGAAGGCGGCGCUCUGGGCCGGAACUGACGCUGAGGAGCGAAAGCGUGGGGAGCAAACAGG
rnacentral:rRNA from 1 species